UACGGGGGGAGCAAGCGUUGUUCGGAUUUACUGGGCGUAAAGGGCGCGUAGGCGGCCACCGCAAGUCAAUUGUGAAAUCUCCGGGCUUAACUCGGAAAGGUCAACUGAUACUGCGGGGCUAGAGUGCAGAAGGGGCAACUGGAAUUCUCGGUGUAGCGGUGAAAUGCGUAGAUAUCGAGAGGAACACCUGCGGCGAAGGCGGGUUGCUGGGCCGACACUGACGCUGAUGCGCGAAAGCCAGGGGAGCGAACGGG
rnacentral:rRNA from 1 species